AUUGAACGCUGGCGGAAUGCUUUACACAUGCAAGUCGAACGGCAGCACGGACUUCGGUCUGGUGGCGAGUGGCGAACGGGUGAGUAAUGUAUCGGAACGUGCCCAGUCGUGGGGGAUAACGUAGUGAAAAUUACGCUAAUACCGCAUACGAUCUAUGGAUGAAAGCGGGGGAUUGCAAAACCUCGCGCGAUUGGAGCGGCCGAUAUCAGAUUAGGUAGUUGGUGGGGUAAAGGCCCACCAAGCCAACGAUCUGUAGCUGGUCUGAGAGGACGACCAGCCACACUGGAACUGAGACACGGUCCAGACUCCUACGGGAGGCAGCAGUGGGGAAUUUUGGACAAUGGGCGAAAGCCUGAUCCAGCCAUUCCGCGUGCAGGAUGAAGGCCCUCGGGUUGUAAACUGCUUUUGUACAGAACGAAAAGGUUUCUACUAAUACUAGGAGCUCAUGACGGUACUGUAAGAAUAAGCACCGGCUAACUUCGUGCCAGCCGCCGCCGUAA
rnacentral:rRNA from 1 species